ensembl:snRNA U6 U6 spliceosomal RNA
UGCCCUCUUCAGCAGCAGUAUACUAAAAUUAGAAGGAUACAAAGAAGAUUAGCCUGGCCCCUUGCACACACAAAUUUGUGAAGCGUUCCAGUUUUUU